GUCAUCACAUUGGCAGAACAUGUACUACAAUUGGAGCAAUGUAGAGAAUAUCAGUAUGGUACCUAUGCAAGAAUGACACAAAAAUUCAUGAAGUGUUCCAUAUUUAA
ensembl:snRNA Gm26257 U6 spliceosomal RNA